CUCCCUUCUCCCCCCCCCUCCCCCCCCGCCCGUCAAGCCUUUGGCAUCAUUAUCCUCAUCACUAAAUCCUACAGAGUACAGGGCGGAAAACGGUGCACAC
ensembl:misc_RNA